GGAGUUUGGGCCGUGUCUCAGUCCCAAUGUGGCCGUUCACCCUCUCAGGCCGGCUAUUGAUCGUCGCUUUGGUAAGCCGUUACCUCACCAACUGGCUAAUCAAACGCGGGUCCAUCUAUAAGCGAUAAAUCUUUUCUCACUCUCUCAUGCGAGACUGUAAGCUUAUAUUGUAUUAGCAGUGAUUUCUCACUGUUAUCCAAUUCUUAUAGGCAGGUUACCCACGCGUUACUCACCCAUCCGCCACUAGAAUUCUCACUGCUUUGACCGAAGUCUCCACUGUGAGGUUCCCGUUCGACUUGCAUGUGUUAGGCACGCCGCCAGCGUUCAUC
rnacentral:rRNA from 1 species